GUCGAGGCCACGUGGGCUCCGUGACGUCAUCUCUCGGCGCAGAGCGUGACUGGAUUUGGGGUGGGCUUCCAGGGUUGCGCCGCGCUGCUGGCCGAGUUCGCCGGGUACCGGAGGGCGGAAGUACGGCAAGGUGAGUCUCUUACCUCCGCGCCAGUGUUUCUGCGGCUGCGCGUGCUCUCUGGACUCCUGCUCCCGCGCCUCUGCAGGACGGUGUCGGGCGGCACAGCCCCGACCCCGGCGUCUUCACCUGUGCAGGAAGCCGGGGGACGAGCCGGCGCUUUGGGCACGUUUGACCUUGGUUGAAGAAAAAAAUUAGCCUGUAUGUACUGCUUUAACCACUGGAAGAAUGACAGAUGACAAAGAUGUGCUUCGAGAUGUGUGGUUUGGACGAAUUCCAACUUGCUUCACUCUGUAUCAAGAUGAGAUAACUGAAAGGGAAGCAGAACCAUACUAUUCUGGCUGUGUAGUUCAGGCUGGCCUUGAACUCAC